rnacentral:rRNA from 1 species
GAGUGAAGAGGGAAGAGCUCAUCAUUGGAAUCUGGCGGUGUUGCACCGUCCGAGUUGUAGAUGAGGAGUGGUUCGUCUGGACUGCAUGGCGUCCAAGUACAAUAGGCCGUCAGUGGGACAUCAUAGAGGGUGACAAUCCCGUCCUUGAUGCCAAUGUGCAAGUCCAUUACGAUGGCCAUCUCAGAGAGUCGAGCAGUUUGGGAUUUGCUGCUUAAACAUGGGAGGUAGAUUCCUUCUAAAGCUAAAUACAGGCAAGAGACCGAUAGAGAACAAGUACCGCAAGGGAAAGAUGAAAUAGCACUCUGUGAAGGGAGUCAAAAGGCGUGAAAUUGUUGCGAGAGAAGCGAUUCAAGUCAGCGUAGCUAGGCCCAUUAAGCCUCUUUGCGCUUUGGACUAGCUUUGCCAGCGGUCUUGUCCUUAGAGACUUGACUUGUAUGUCCAGCCUGGUAUGCACAGGUAGCCCUCCGGGGUCAGUGACAUGGCUGGUGGAAUGGCUUGCAAUCGACCCGUCUUGAAACACGGACCAAGGAGUCUAACAUGUAUGCGAGUAUAAGGGUGGCAAACCCGUAUGCGCAAUGAAAGUGAUUUUCGGUGAUUGAGAAUGGCCUGAUGACCAGACAAGCAAUAUAUGUCCCUCGUACGGCCAUUGCCCAAGUUCCGUGGUAGAUCCCACGAACAUGGAGUUGGAGCAUACAUGCUAGGACCCGAAAGAUGGUGAACUAUGCCUGGACAAAGCGAAGCCAAAGGAAACUCUGGUGGAGGCUUGUAGCGAUUCUGACGUGCAAAUCGAUCGUCUGAUCUG